UACCAGCUGGCUGCAACUGUUUAUUAAAAACACAGCACUGUGCAAACACGAAAGUGGACGUAUACGGUGUGACGCCUGCCCGGUGCCGGAAGGUUAAUUGAUGGGGUCAGCGCAAGCGAAGCUCCUGAUCGAAGCCCCGGUAAACGGCGGCCGUAACUAUAACGGUCCUAAGGUAGCGAAAUUCCUUGUCGGGUAAGUUCCGACCUGCACGAAUGGCGUAAUGAUGGCCAGGCUGUCUCCACCCGAGACUCAGUGAAAUUGAACUCGCUGUGAAGAUGCAGUGUACCCGCGGCAAGACGGAAAGACCCCGUGAACCUUUACUAUAGCUUGACACUGAACAUUGAGCCUUGAUGUGUAGGAUAGGUGGGAGGCUUUGAAGUGUGGACGCCAGUCUGCAUGGAGCCGACCUUGAAAUACCACCCUUUAAUGUUUGAUGUUCUAACGUGGACCCGUGAUCCGGGUUGCGGACAGUGUCUGGUGGGUAGUUUGACUGGGGCGGUCUCCUCCUAAAGAGUAACGGAGGAGCACGAAGGUUGGCUAAUCCUGGUCGGACAUCAGGAGGUUAGUGCAAUGGCAUAAGCCAGCUUGACUGCGAGCGUGACGGCGCGAGCAGGUGCGAAAGCAGGUCAUAGUGAUCCGGUGGUUCUGAAUGGAAGGGCCAUCGCUCAACGGAUAAAAGGUACUCCGGGGAUAACAGGCUGAUACCGCCCAAGAGUUCAUAUCGACGGCGGUGUUUGGCACCUCGAUGUCGGCUCAUCACAUCCUGGGGCUGAAGUAGGUCCCAAGGGUAUGGCUGUUCGCCAUUUAAAGUGGUACGCGAGCUGGGUUUAGAACGUCGUGAGACAGUUCGGUCCCUAUCUGCCGUGGGCGCUGGAGAACUGAGGGGGGCUGCUCCUAGUACGAGAGGACCGGAGUGGACGCAUCACUGGUGUUCGGGUUGUCAUGCCAAUGGCACUGCCCGGUAGCUAAAUGCGGAAGAGAUAAGUGCUGAAAGCAUCUAAGCACGAAACUUGCCCCGAGAUGAGUUCUCCCUGAGACUUUAGGUCUCCUGAAGGAACGUUGAAGACGACGACGUUGAUAGGCCGGGUGUGUAAGCGCAGCGAUGCGUUGAGCUAACCGGUACUAAUGAACCGUGAGGCUUAACCUUACAACGCCGAAG
rnacentral:rRNA from 5 species